AUACGGAGGGGACAAGCGUUAUUCGGAAUCACUGGGCGUAAAGGACGCGUAGGCGGGUUAUUAAGUCGGGUGUGAAAUCCAAUGGCUCAACCAUUGAACUGCAUUCGAAACUGAUAACCUAGAGUAUGGAAGGGGCAGGUGGAAUUAGUGGUGUAGGGGUAAAAUCCGUAGAUAUCACUAGGAAUACCGAAAGCGAAGGCGACCUGCUGGGACAUUACUGACGCUGAGGCGUGAAAGCGUGGGGAGCAAACAGGAUUAGAAACCCGGGUAGUCC
rnacentral:rRNA from 1 species